CCGUUUCCGAGUUUCCGCCUCCGCUCGCCUCCGUAGCUCUAGCUCCUCCGCCAUCGUCGUCCGCUGCAUGUCCACCUCUGCAGGUAAUUCCUCCGUCUUUGAAUUUGAAGUUUGCUGAAUCGGAAUCGAAGAUUCUGAAAUAGUAUAGUAUACUCGUAGUUUGAAUUGGUCAACCUGCACCUCAUUGUGACUUGUAACUGUAAAAUGUGGAAAUGAUUCUAGGUUAAACUAAUGCACUUGCAAUUCCUUGAUUGGAUGGUUCCAGAUUUACCAACAGUGGCAGAGACGAAGC
rnacentral:lncRNA from 1 species